CAGGGGGUUAUCUGGAGGUUAUCAGGGGGUUAUUUGGAGGUUAUCUGGAGGUUUUCAGGUGUUCGUUAGGGGUGUGUCCAGUUAAUAUAAAUCUGUUAAUUAGAGACGAUCGGACUGACUUCCUAUCUGGAAAUUAAACGGACUUCACACGAAGGACUGACGAUGAAGACGUUGGUGAUGAAGAGGAAGUCACAUGGGACGAUGUUGCGCAUUUCUGCUUUAUCACCGUUAUUAAUUAUUAUUAUUGUUAUUAUUAUUAAUCGGCUUUGGUGUGUGUGUGUGUGUGUGUGUGUGUGUGUGUGUGUGUGUGUGUGUGUGUGUGUGUGUGUGUGUGUGUGUGUGUGUGUGUGUGUGUGUGUGUGUGUGUGUGUGUGUGUGUGUGUGUGUGUGUGAGUGUGAGAAAGCGCUCUCUCUGAUGACAUCACUGUGACCUCACCAUCUGAUUAGUUAUUCAAUUAAGGGACUUUUAGGGCAACGUUUUGGGGGGUUGAAAAAGUAAAAGGUUGUUAAAUCAAAACAUUUUACGCUGACACAUUAUUAAAGAUUUAAGUGGAUUAUUUAUUUGGUUUAAGGUGUUUUUAAGAAGCUUAAACACCUUAACUUUAAAAUAGCAUUUUUGAAAUUUUGGCUUAAAAGAUAGAUAUAUAUAUAUAAGGAAGAUAAACAAGUUAAUGUAAAGUCAUUAAACCACACAGAUCAUCUGAUCUACAACAACCCAUUUACAUCCCCCAUUAUAUGAAAGUAUUACAGGGUUCAAAUAUUCCUUUGUAUGAUUUUGGCGCUUUUCAGGGCUUCUAAAAAACUUAAUUUGACCAAAUACCAUAAAAACGCUCCCCUUUAUUUUAAGAGUAUUUUAUAGUAUAGAUUUAUGAAUGGCUUUCAUGGUUUUUGGUCAAUUUAAAGGAUUUUCUUACCCUUAAUUUGUUAUUAAAUCCAUGCAGAUAAUCUAAUCUAAAACCCAUUAGAUUUGGAUUAAUAACGAAGGAGUAAAACACCCUAACAGGGGCUUUAAUGUCAUCCGGUUCAUGUUAAGGCUUUUAAUAUUUUACCCCUUAAAUGUUUUUAAGCUUUUCAGAUCAUUUAAUUUACCCCCUUAACAUCCCUUUACAGUUACCUCAAUAAUAUCAUGUAUUGUUCAACGCCUUAAAUCCAACUCUUAAAAAACUUCAUUUGUAUUUGUUUGCCUUAAUUUAGUUUAAUUUGCCUUAAAAAUAGAUUUAAUCAAUCCUUAUUAUCACAACACCAUCUAAAUAUUUCCCCUUAAAAUGCCCUUCACCUUCAAGGCAUCAGAGCAUUCCCUUCAGUGAAACGUGGAGGAGCCUUUAACGAGAGGUUCGUCCCGCUCUGAGGAACAGCUGGAUAAACGGUAAUGAAAAUACUAAAUGUCAUUAAACGUCCCUGAACUUUGACCUGGUGUGAAAAUGUCCGGCUGUUUUAAUGCUAAUUAAGAACGUUUUGUUCUUGCUCUUAACGCCUUAAUUGAAUUAUUAGGAUUUAAGGUAGACAACAUGAAACCCCCGACCAGAGCGGAGUUUAUUGAUCGAGCGCCUUAAAAAUCUGACUUCAUUAUGGAACCGACAAAAACUGCCUUAAAGAAAUUAGUCAACGCCUUAAACUGAGAAGUUAGUCUUUAAAAUUCUUAAAAACUAUAAUACAAAUAGUAGUUCAGGGACUACAGGGAGCCUGGGGCAUCGAGAAACUGAAAUGAACAUGGGGCGCUGAGGGACAGAGUUAAGCGUGGGGCGUUGAGGAAUCCAAACGAAUGUAGGGCGUUCAGCAACUAUAUCACUGUGGGGCGUUCAGGAACCGCAACAAGCAUGGGGCGUUCAGGAACCAAAAUUGAAAUGGGGCAUUGAGGGACUAAUUUGAGCCGGCGGCGUUCAGGAACAUAAACGUCUAUGGGGUGUUCAGGGACUAAAAAAAUCAAAUGUUUAACUUUUAAACAAGCACCCUGAACGUCACACGACUCGAGAGUUACAGUUUCUGAUUUUAUGAAUAAAUAAAGUAUUAAAAUAUAUUCAGUGAAAAUAUCGCUUCAGACUAUCACCCGUUAGUGCAAAGACAUGGUACCUCAACUACAUUACCCACAAUCCACUAGUGUUGCUGCUGUUCUGUGCAUUGACAGCAGGAGGAGCUGAUUAGGCUGUGUGUGUGUGUGUGUGUGUGUGUGUGUGUGUGUGUGUGUGUGUGUGUGUGUGUGUGUGUGUGUCCUCCUGAUGACAUCACUGUCCUGUGCAGCUCCUUGUGUGUUGAUGUUUGUUCAGCAGAGGAAGAGGCUGCUUCCUGCCAAAGAAGUUUCUGUGUGUGUCUGUGUGUGUGUGUGUGUGUGUGUGUGUGUGUGUGUGUGUGUGUGUACAGUAGGAUACACUUCAGCUUGUUGAACCUCUGUGUGCUCUCGUCCAAUCAGAGCGCUGCGUUACAAACAUAAUAAACUAAAUAAAACCCA